CAUUGGGCUCAGCUGGCCGGCCCAUUCCAUCAGGCCGGGUCCUGGGAGAGGUUCCGCGCCGGAGCUCCGUCGUUCGCAGGAAGUGCAGGAACCUGCAAAGGCCAGGAACGCUGCGGUGGAAUCCAGCCGCCAUAGGCCGUCUGCUGCCUGAGAUUGGAGGAAUUUGUUUUAAAGAGGGGCGGGGCCAGCCUGUGUCUGUGUGUGAAUGUGGGGGUCUGUCAGGCUCAGCAAAAACAGAGUAGAAUGAUGGACAGUGACUAUGAGCUGUUAUCCGAGGACUGCUGUGCACAACCCUGCAAAGUUAUAAUUCCUGAGGCGAGCGAGUGCUUCAUCUGCCGGGAGGGUCAGCUGGGGACCAGGGAGCCCAUCAGGACGUUCUGCGACUGCAGGAGCCUGCUGGCCCACCACCACUGCCUGCUCACCUGGAUCAGCAAGGGCCAUGGCAACGACGACCGGCUGAGGUGCAGCGUCUGUAAAGUAAAGUACCAGCUGGAGCGGCGGUCGGCGUGGCUGCUGGUGGCGGCCCGGUGGAGGACCUGGCUCGUCCUGGCCGCCUUCGUCUCGCUGCUGGCCCUGGCGCCCUACACGUCGUACCGCAUGCUGACGGCCUUCCGCGACCCCCCUCCGGACCCACUGUUCAAGGCGGCCGCCGUCUGCUUUGGGCUGCUGUCAGUCACCCUGCUGAUCAUGGGCCUGUUCAGCUACUUCCGCGGGGAGUUCCGGAAGGCCCAACACUGCGCCUUCACAGUCCACCCACGCCAGAGCGAUGAGGGCGAUGUGAUGGACUGGCCUGGUUCAGGUCCUCCCCUGACCUGGAUGGACCAAGUCAAGAACCCGGGCCCAUGCCCGGGCCUAAAGAAAUGAGAGAAAUGGAGCAAGGUUGGAAGGAGGGGCCUGGAACGCUUACUGCUUCCCCUCUGGCUGGAAGGAGAUAAGAUUGUCAGCGAGGUCGGGGAGAGGAUGAAGAAAGAGCUGACGGACCCUCGUCUACUCUUUUCAGAUCUGGCCUCCUCCUGGCUACUCCGUCUGAACAGACUCUCUCAAAGAAAAGUUCAACCAUGAGUUCAACCAAAGCGUUUUCAAGCGAGUGUGCACUGCGGAGCAAAUACUUUGAGAGUUUGGACAUUUUGUGUGUUUUUACAGGCACAUGUGCAUAAUGUGCAUAACCACAUUACAGAUUUAAAAUAUCAGUUUACAUCAUUUCCACCAAUGGUCAAAGGUUUUAUUGUUAGAUUCUGCAAUUUUCAUUAAACAGGACAUGCAUUUGUUUACCCGGGCUAGAUUAUUAAUGCUUAUUGGCAUGCUUAUUAAACAUUGAAGUGCAAGUAAAACCUGCGUUACACAUGAGUUGUGCGAUGCUAAUGAUCUCUCUGAAUGAUCAUCGUCCAUGUUGUAGCGCCUCCAUGCUAAUGCAAGCUACGUUUUACUUCGAAUGUUGCAUUUUAGCGAGCAUGUUCCUUUAUACAAGCGUCUUUACUUGUAGCUGUGAUACUUUAGCAAAUUAAAAGCUACUAUCAGAAAAGCGAACGCGAAUAGCAGCAAAUGUUAGAGCUUCAGAUGGAACAAUUUGCCGUGUUUUUAUGUCACUGUGUUAAUGAUACGUGCCUUUAUGAACACUGCAGAUUAGCUUGAAGAUGUUAGCUCAACCACAGUCGGUGUUUCGGGC
rnacentral:lncRNA from 1 species